rnacentral:lncRNA from 1 species
UCUACUCUUUGAGAGUUUAAUAACUUCUUUAUUUCUCCUAUAUGUACAGGUGGUGUACGGGAGUGCUUUACCAAUCCUGCUAGGGCAAACAAGUCAUGGCAUGGAGAUUCCACUUGGCUACUCCAACGUUGUCCUAGAGCAGAUUUGUGAUAGUCAAUAUGAAGGCCUAGAGCUUGACCUCCCAGGAGGUGAUAGGGAAAGGACAC